rnacentral:rRNA from 1 species
UGGGGAAUAUUGGGCAAUGGGCGCAAGCCUGACCCAGCAACGCCGCGUGAAGGAAGAAGGCCCUCGGGUUGUAAACUUCUUUUAUGAAGGACGAAAAAAAUGACGGUACUUCACGAAUAAGCAUCGGCUAACUCCGUGCCAGCAGCCGCGGUAAUACGGAGGAUGCAAGCGUUAUCCGGAUUUAUUGGGUUUAAAGGGUGCGUAGGCUGUUAUGUAAGUCAGCGGUGAAAUACCUAAGCUCAACUUAGGGGCUGCCGUUGAUACUGCAUAGCUGGAAUAUGGUUGCUGUUGGCGGAAUGUGUAGUGUAGCGGUGAAAUGCAUAGAUAUUAGGAGGAACACCAGUGGCGAAGGCGGCUUUCUGGACGAUAACUGACGCUGAGGCGCGAAAGCGUGGGGAGCAAACA